rnacentral:rRNA from 1 species
UGCCUGAAUAACUACUGGAAACGGUAGCUAAUACCGCAUAACGUCGCAAGACCAAAGAGGGGGACCUUCAGGCCUCUUGCCAUCGGAUGUGCCCAGAUGGGAUUAGCUUGUUGGUGGGGUAACGGCUCACCAAGGCGACGAUCCCUAGCUGGUCUGAGAGGAUGACCAGCCACACUGGAACUGAGACACGGUCCAGACUCCUACGGGAGGCAGCAGUGGGGAAUAUUGCACAAUGGGCGCAAGCCUGAUGCAGCCAUGCCGCGUGUAUGAAGAAGGCCUUCGGGUUGUAAAGUACUUUCAGCGGGGAGGAAGGGAGUAAAGUUAAUACCUUUGCUCAUUGACGUUACCCGCAGAAGAAGCACCGGCUAACUCCGUGCCAGCAGCCGCGGUAAUACGGAGGGUGCAGGCGUUAAUCGGAAUUACUGGGCGUAAAGCGCACGCAGGCGGUUUGUUAAGUCAGAUGUGAAAUCCCCGGGCUCAACCUGGGAACUGCAUCUGAUACUGGCAAGCUUGAGUCUCGUAGAGGGGGGUAGAAUUCCAGGUGUAGCGGUGAAAUGCGUAGAGAUCUGGAGGAAUACCGGUGGCGAAGGCGGCCCCCUGGACGAAGACUGACGCUCAGGUGCGAAAGCGUGGGGAGCAAACAGGAUUAGAUACCCUGGUAGUCCACGCCGUAAACGAUGUCGACUUGGAG